rnacentral:rRNA from 1 species
GACGAACGCUGGCGGCGUGCUUAACACAUGCAAGUCGAGCGAUGAAGUCCCUUCGGGAAUGGAUUAGCGGCGGAUGGGUGAGUGACACGUGGGUAACCUGCCUCAUAGAGGGGAAUAGCCUUUCGAAAGGAAGAUUAAUACCGCAUAAGAUUGUAGUAUCGCAUGAUACAGCAAUUAAAGGAGUAAUCCGCUAUGAGAUGGACCCGCGUGGCAUUAGCUAGUUGGUGAGGUAACGGCCCACCAAGGCGACGAUGCGUAGCCGACCUGAGAGGGAGAUCGGCCACAUUGGGACUGAGACACGGCCCAGACUCCUACGGGGGGCAGCAGUGGGGAAUAUUGCACAAUGGGGGAAACCCUGAUGCAGCAACGCCGCGUGAGUGAUGACGGUCUUCGGAUUGUAAAACUCUGUCUUCAGGGACGAUAAUGACGGUACCUGAGGAGGAAGCCACGGCUAACUACGUGCCAGCCGCCGCAGUAAUAC